rnacentral:rRNA from 1 species
AAUGAACGCUGGCGGCGUGCCUAAUACAUGCAAGUCGAGCGAACAGACGAGGAGCUUGCUCCUCUGACGUUAGCGGCGGACGGGUGAGUAACACGUGGAUAACCUACCUAUAAGACUGGGAUAACUUCGGGAAACCGGAGCUAAUACCGGAUAACAUGUUGAACCGCAUGGUUCAACAGUGAAAGACGGUCUUGCUGUCACUUAUAGAUGGAUCCGCGCCGCAUUAGCUAGUUGGUAAGGUAACGGCUUACCAAGGCAACGAUGCGUAGCCGACCUGAGAGGGUGAUCGGCCACACUGGAACUGAGACACGGUCCAGACUCCUACGGGAGGCAGCAGUAGGGAAUCUUCCGCAAUGGGCGAAAGCCUGACGGAGCAACGCCGCGUGAGUGAAGAAGGUCUUCGGAUCGUAAAACUCUGUUAUUAGGGAAGAACAAAUGUGUAAGUAACUAUGCACGUCUUGACGGUACCUAAUCAGAAAGCCACGGCUAACUACGUG